AUCCAACUGGGUUGCGCUAUCUGUUUGCUUAAAAGGGAAAGUGCUUCCCAUUUGGAUGA
rnacentral:pre_miRNA from 1 species